rnacentral:rRNA from 1 species
ACGAACGCUGGCGGCGUGCCUAAUACAUGCAAGUAGAACGCUGAAGAGAGGAGCUUACUCUUCUUGGAUGAGUUGCGAACGGGUUAGUAACGCGUAGGUAACCUGCCUUGUAGCGGGGGAUAACUAUUGGAAACGAUAGCUAAUACCGCAUAACAAUGGAUGACACAUGUCAUUUAUUUGAAAGGGGCAAUUGCUCCACUACAAGAUGGACCUGCGUUGUAUUAGCUAGUAGGUGAGGUAAUGGCUCACCUAGGCGACGAUACAUAGCCGACCUGAGAGGGUGAUCGGCCACACUGGGACUGAGACACGGCCCAGACUCCUACGGGAGGCAGCAGUAGGGAAUCUUCGGCAAUGGGGGCAACCCUGACCGAGCAACGCCGCGUGAGUGAAGAAGGUUUUCGGAUCGUAAAGCUCUGUUGUAAGUCAAGAACGGGUGUGAGAGUGGAAAGUUCACACUGUGACGGUAGCUUACCAGAAAGGGACGGCUAACUACGUG